rnacentral:rRNA from 1 species
AACGUAGGUGGCGAGCGUUUAUCCGGAUUCAUUGGGCGUAAAGAGCUUGUAGGCGGCGUCAUAAGUUGGACGUGAAAACUCCGGGCUUAACUUGGAGAGGCCGUUCAAUACUGUGAGGCUAGAGGGUGUCAGAGGGAAGUAGAAUUCCUGGUGUAGCAGUGAAAUGCGUAGAUAUCAGGAGGAAUACCCGUGGCGAAGGCGGCUUCCUGGGGCACCACUGACGCUGAGAAGCGAAAGCUAGGGGAGCAAACGGG